rnacentral:rRNA from 1 species
UCGAGAGUGGAGCUCAGCUCCGGGGGGGCGAACCGCCCUCAACUCUUCACCCAUUGCGGACAUCAUCCUUGUUGCUUUGGCGAGCUCCGGGGAGGGAAACUCCCCGGGCGCAUCGCCAAUGGCUAUUUCAACGCUGUCUGAUGCAGUCGGAACAAAGACAAAAUCGGUUUUUUAAAAACUUUCAACAACGGAUCUCUUGGCUCUGGCAUCGAUGAAGAACGCAGCGAAAUGCGAUAAGUAAUGUGAAUUGCAGAAUUCAGUGAAUCAUCGAAUCUUUGAACGCAUAUUGCGCCCCUUGGCAUUCCGAGGGGCAUACCUGUUCGAGCGUCAUUGGCUCCCCUCAAGCUUGGCUUGGUUAUGGGCGUGCGUCCUCCGGGACGCGCCCGAAACACAGUGGCGGUUCGACCUGGCUGCGAGACGUAGUAGUGAAUUGAUCCGCUCGCCAGCUUCCGGUCGCGCUCGCCAGGCAACCUAGAUCGUAAUCGUAUCGGUUGACCUCGGAUCA